AUGAACGCUGGCGGCGUGCCUAAUACAUGCAAGUCGAGCGAACAGACGAGGAGCUUGCUCCUCUGACGUUAGCGGCGGACGGGUGAGUAACACGUGGAUAACCUACCUAUAAGACUGGGAUAACUUCGGGAAACCGGAGCUAAUACCGGAUAAUAUAUUGAACCGCCUGGUUUAAUAGUGAAAGACGGUUUUGCUGUCACUUAUAGAUGGAUCCGCGCCGCAUUAGCUAGUUGGUAAGGUAACGGCUUACCAAGGCAACGAUGCGUAGCCGACCUGAGAGGGUGAUCGGCCACACUGGAACUGAGACACGGUCCAGACUCCUACGGGAGGCAGCAGUAGGGAAUCUUCCGCAAUGGGCGAAAGCCUGACGGAGCAACGCCGCGUGAGUGAUGAAGGUCUUCGGAUCGUAAAACUCUGUUAUUAGGGAAGAACAAAUGUGUAAGUAACUAUGCACGUCUUGACGGUACCUAAUCAGAAAGCCACGGCUAACUACGUG
rnacentral:rRNA from 1 species